rnacentral:lncRNA from 1 species
AAGAUAUGGCUUCACCCAUAACUAGCAACAAAACGAUAUACUUACUACCUUCAAAUUACAAGUGCUGUCUUCAACGCCUCAUAACUCCUUCAUUUAAUCUUAGAAUUCACUAUACAGUAAAUAGAAUGUGUAGCCAAGAAAAUGCUCCCUCCAAAUCCAGUCGCCGAUCUUCCGUUGCUCUCCGUAUUCGUAUGUGAUGCCCAAAAGAAGUGACAGUAGGUAC